UACAGUCGCCAUACCACCCUGAACAUGCCCAAUCUUCUUUGAUCUCAGAAGCUAAGCAGAGUUGGGCCUGGUUAGUACUUGCAUGGGGACCCCCUGGGAAUACCAGGUGCUGCAA
rnacentral:rRNA from 1 species